GCAUAUUAAUAUAUAUAUAUAUAUAUAGGUAAUCGACUGUCUCUAACACAAGUGACAAAAAGCUUGAUGCUUAUUACCUGGAUCCCAAGUUCGAAGCAUAGUUGUUUUAUAUUGACAGUUAAAUUUAUUUCUAAAAAAAAAUAAAAAGAAACAAGUAGUAUGCUACUUUUUUCUCAAAAGUACACAUAGUACUAACUGUUUACUCUUCCCAUUAUUAUCA
rnacentral:lncRNA from 1 species